UACGUAGGGUGCGAGCGUUAAUCGGAAUUACUGGGCGUAAAGCGUGCGCAGGCGGUUCGUUAAGACAGAUGUGAAAUCCCCGGGCUUAACCUGGGAACUGCAUUUGUGACUGGCGAGCUAGAGUAUGGCAGAGGGGGGUAGAAUUCCACGUGUAGCAGUGAAAUGCGUAGAGAUGUGGAGGAAUACCGAUGGCGAAGGCAGCCCCCUGGGACAAUACUGACGCUCAUGCACGAAAGCGUGGGGAGCAAACAGG
rnacentral:rRNA from 1 species